GACGAACCGAGCGAACGUUAUUCGGAAUCACUGGGCUUAAAGGGCGCGUAGGCGGGCGAUCAAGUCAGGGGUGAAAGCCCCAGCUCAACUGGGGAAGUGCCUCUGAUACUGGUCAUCUCGAGGGAGGUAGGGGCGUGCGGAACUUCCGGUGGAGCGGUGAAAUGCGUAGAUAUCGGAAGGAACAUCGGUGGCGAAAGCGGCGCGCUGGACCUCUUCUGACGCUGAGGCGCGAAAGCCAGGGGAGCGGAACGGG
rnacentral:rRNA from 1 species